rnacentral:rRNA from 1 species
GACGAACGCUGGCGGCGUGCUUAACACAUGCAAGUCGAACGGAAAGGCCCUUCGGGGUACUCGAGUGGCGAACGGGUGAGUAACACGUGGGUGGUCUGCCCUGCACUUUGGGAUAAGCCUGGGAAACUGGGUCUAAUACCGAAUAGGACCACGCGCUUCAUGGUGUGUGGUGGAAAGCUUUUGCGGUGUGGGAUGGGCCCGCGGCCUAUCAGCUUGUUGGUGGGGUAAUGGCCUACCAAGGCGACGACGGGUAGCCGGCCUGAGAGGGUGACCGGCCACACUGGGACUGAGAUACGGCCCAGACUCCUACGGGAGGCAGCAGUGGGGAAUAUUGCACAAUGGGCGCAAGCCUGAUGCAGCGACGCCGCGUGAGGGAUGACGGCCUUCGGGUUGUAAACCUCUUUCAAUAGGGACGAAGCGCAAGUGACGGUACCUAUAGAAGAAGCACCGGCCAACUACGUGCCAGCAGCCGCGGUAAUACGUAGGGUGCGAGCGUUGUCGGGAAUACUGGGCGUAAAGAGCUCGUANGUGGUUUGUCGCGUUGUUCGUGAAAACUCACAGCUUAACUGUGGGCGUGCGGGCGAUACGGGCAGACUAGAGUACUGCAGGGGAGACUGGAAUUCCUGGUGUAGCGGUGGAAUGCGCAGAUAUCAGGAGGAACACCGGUGGCGAAGGCGGGUCUCUGGGCAGUAACUGACGCUGAGGAGCGAAAGCGUGGGGAGCGAACAGGAUUAGAUACCCUGGUAGUCCACGCCGUAAACGGUGGGUACUAGGUGUGGGUUCCUUCCUUGGGAUCCGUGCCGUAGCUAACGCAUUAAGUACCCCGCCUGGGGAGUACGGCCGCAAGGCUAAAACUCAAAGGAAUUGACGGGGGCCCGCACAAGCGGCGGAGCAUGUGGGUUAAUUCGAUGCAACGCGAAGAACCUUACCUGGGUUUGACGUGCACAGGACGCCGGCAGAGAUGUCGGUUCCCUUGUGGCCUGUGUGCAGGUGGUGCAUGGCUGUCGUCAGCUCGUGUCGUGAGAUGUUGGGUUAAGUCCCGCAACGAGCGCAACCCUUGUCCUAUGUUGCCAGCGGGUUAUGCCGGGGACUCGUAGGAGACUGCCGGGGUCAACUCGGAGGAAGGUGGGGAUGACGUCAAGUCAUCAUGCCCCUUAUGUCCAGGGCUUCACACAUGCUACAAUGGCCGGUACAAAGGGCUGCGAUGCCGUGAGGUGGAGCGAAUCCUUUCAAAGCCGGUCUCAGUUCGGAUCGGGGUCUGCAACUCGACCCCGUGAAGUCGGAGUCGCUAGUAAUCGCAGAUCAGCAACGCUGCGGUGAAUACGUUCCCGGGCCU